CUGUAGCCAGUUAAGCUGACUGUGUUCCUUUCCUCAUGGGGGCUCAGUGUGCAAUGGCUGCACACAGCAGCUUCCUUGGUAGUAUACUCAGCCUGAUUCUUGUAUGGGUUGCUCUAAGGGACCUUGGAGACAGGC
ensembl:snoRNA SNORA70 Small nucleolar RNA SNORA70